rnacentral:rRNA from 1 species
UUGAGAGUUUGAUCCUGGCUCAGGAUGAACGCUAGCUACAGGCUUAACACAUGCAAGUCGAGGGGCAGCGAGGUUGAAGCUUGCUUCAACUGUCGGCGACCGGCGCACGGGUGAGUAACACGUAUCCAACCUGCCAUUCACUCUCGGAUAGCCUUCUGAAAGGAAGAUUAAUACGAGAUGGUAUCAGGAAUCAGCAUUUUUUCUUGAUUAAAGAAUUUCGGUGGAUGAUGGGGAUGCGUUCCAUUAGGCAGUUGGCGGGGUAACGGCCCACCAAACCUACGAUGGAUAGGGGUUCUGAGAGGAAGGUCCCCCACAUUGGAACUGAGACACGGUCCAAACUCCUACGGGAGGCAGCAGUGAGGAAUAUUGGUCAAUGGACGAGAGUCUGAACCAGCCAAGUAGCGUGAAGGAUGACUGCCCUAUGGGUUGUAAACUUCUUUUAUACGGGAAUAAAGUUCACUACGUGUAGUGUUUUGUAUGUACCGUAUGAAUAAGGAUCGGCUAACUCCGUGCCAGCAGCCGCGGUAAUACGGAGGAUCCGAGCGUUAUCCGGAUUUAUUGGGUUUAAAGGGAGCGUAGAUGGGUGUUUAAGUCAGUUGUGAAAGUUUGCGGCUCAACCGUAAAAUUGCAGUUGAUACUGGACGCCUUGAGUGCAGUUGAGGUAGGCGGAAUUCGUGGUGUAGCGGUGAAAUGCUUAGAUAUCACGAAGAACUCCGAUUGCGAAGGCAGCCUACUAAGCUGUAACUGACAUUGAGGCUCGAAAGUGUGGGUAUCAAACAGGAUUAGAUACCCUGGUAGUCCACACGGUAAACGAUGAAUACUCGCUGUUGGCGAUAUACAGUCAGCGGCCAAGCGAAAGCAUUAAGUAUUCCACCUGGGGAGUACGCCGGCAACGGUGAAACUCAAAGGAAUUGACGGGGGCCCGCACAAGCGGAGGAACAUGUGGUUUAAUUCGAUGAUACGCGAGGAACCUUACCCGGGCUUGAAUUGCUUCUGAAUAACCUGGAAACAGGUUAGCCGCAAGGCAGAAGUGAAGGUGCUGCAUGGUUGUCGUCCAGCUCGUGCCGUGAGGUGUCCGGCUUAAGUGCCAUAACGAGCGCAACCCUCAUCUCCAGUUGCCAUCAGGUCAUGCUGGGAACUCUGGAGAGACUGCCGUCGUAAGAUGUGAGGAAGGUGGGGAUGACGUCAAAUCAGCACGGCCCUUACGUCCGGGGCUACACACGUGUUACAAUGGGGGGUACAGCAGGCAGCUACCUGGCGACAGGAUGCUAAUCCCGAAAACCUCUCUCAGUUCGGACUGGAGUCUGCAACCCGACUCCACGAAGCUGGAUUCGCUAGUAAUCGCGCAUCAGCCACGGCGCGGUGAAUACGUUCCCGGGCCUUGUACACACCGCCCGUCAAGCCAUGAAAGCCGGGGGUACCUGAAGUACGUAACCGCAAGGAGCGUCCUAGGGUAAAACUGGUGAUUGGGGCUAAGUCGUAACAAGGUAGCCGUA